GAUGAACGCUGGCGGCGUGCCUAAUACAUGCAAGUAGAACGCUGAAGCUUGGUGCUUGCACCGAGCGGAUGAGUUGCGAACGGGUGAGUAACGCGUAGGUAACCUGCCUGGUAGCGGGGGAUAACUAUUGGAAACGAUAGCUAAUACCGCAUAAAAGUCGAUAUCGCAUGAUAUUGAUUUGAAAGGUGCAAUUGCAUCACUAAGAGAUGGACCUGCGUUGUAUUAGCUAGUUGGUGAGGUAACGGCUCACCAAGGCGACGAUACAUAGCCGACCUGAGAGGGUGAUCGGCCACACUGGGACUGAGACACGGCCCAGACUCCUACGGGAGGCAGCAGUAGGGAAUCUUCGGCAAUGGGGGCAACCCUGACCGAGCAACGCCGCGUGAGUGAAGAAGGUUUUCGGAUCGUAAAGCUCUGUUGUAAGAGAAGAACGAGUGUGAGAGUGGAAAGUUCACACUGUGACGGUAACUUACCAGAAAGGGACGGCUAACUACGUGCCAGCAGCCGCGGUAAUACGUAGGUCCCGAGCGUUAUCCGGAUUUAUUGGGCGUAAAGCGAGCGCAGGCGGUUAGAUAAGUCUGAAGUUAAAGGCUGUGGCUUAACCAUAGUACGCUUUGGAAACUGUUUAACUUGAGUGCAGAAGGGGAGAGUGGAAUUCCAUGUGUAGCGGUGAAAUGCGUAGAUAUAUGGAGGAACACCGGUGGCGAAAGCGGCUCUCUGGUCUGUAACUGACGCUGAGGCUCGAAAGCGUGGGGAGCAAACAGG
rnacentral:rRNA from 1 species